AUUGAUCUUGGCUUAAGUACUGGUCCUGAAUUUAUCAAACUCGUUGUAAAAUGAGUUAAAAGUGAGGCUGAGCGCAGGGCCAAAACAAGGCUGAGACAAAACAUUCUUCCUUUAACUUGUCUGUGUUUCCCAGAGAAUGUGUUCUCAUUAUUUUGUCUGCUGUUUUGUACCUUUGGACAUUCCACCAAUGAUGAAAUUCAGACAGUUCUAUCAGAUUUCGCUUCAAAAAUUUUGGACCUUUGUUACUAGGUACAUAAACAUCUGAGGUGUUUAUUGGAGCUCUUUGCCUAGAACUGAUAAUUGGAUUCAUGGUAUUCUGGAGAACAAGAAGAAACUACCUCAAUGACCUUGGC
rnacentral:lncRNA from 1 species